rnacentral:lncRNA from 1 species
UCACGAUUAAAAGGAAAGAUGAAUGAAAAGGGUUUGCAUUUUUCUCUAAAUUCCAACGCUCUGACAAAGACAUUCUUCCUUCAGCACUUUUGAAUUAGGAGGAACUGAUCAGUCUAUUUCUUAUCUGAAGAAGAAGUAUAUCACUCCAAAAAAUAAUAACACCAAAACAACUAAACUAGACGACCAGGCAAGGUAACUGGAGAGAUGCAUUUAAUAUUAAUAGUUUAAAAAUAUAUUUAAGAUUUUUUGUUUUUAACAAUAAAGGGCUUCCCAUGUGGCCUGCCGCCGAAGCUUAACAUCUCUGCCACAGAAACCCCUAAGAUGCAAGCAGACCUAUAUGUAAU